rnacentral:rRNA from 1 species
GACGAACGCUGGCGGCGUGCUUAACACAUGCAAGUCGAACGGUGAACCCUUCGGGGGGAUCAGUGGCGAACGGGUGAGUAACACGUGAGCAACCUGCCCUUGGCUCUGGGACAACCACUGGAAACGGUGGCUAAUACUGGAUACGACCCUCGCAGGCAUCUGUUGGGGGUGGAAAGAUCUUUCGGCCAGGGAUGGGCUCGCGGCCUAUCAGCUUGUUGGUGGGGUGAUGGCCUACCAAGGCGACGACGGGUAGCCGGCCUGAGAGGGCGACCGGCCACACUGGGACUGAGACACGGCCCAGACUCCUACGGGAGGCAGCAGUGGGGAAUAUUGCACAAUGGGCGCAAGCCUGAUGCAGCGACGCCGCGUGAGGGAUGACGGCCUUCGGGUUGUAAACCUCUUUCAGCUCCGAAGAAGCGAAAGUGACGGUAGGAGCAGAAGAAGCACCGGCUAACUACGUGCCAGCCGCCGCCGUAACAC